rnacentral:lncRNA from 1 species
AUUUUUUCAGGGUCGGCCAUGUCUUUUUUCCGGGGGGGGGGGUUAUUUACACUUCCGGGGAGGGGGCGGAGCUUCGCCUCCAAUACGUUUCUAUGUACACGCAUCCAUUCGGGAGGUGGGCGGGGCUUAUGUACAGGGGGCGGGGCUUAAAAGGCAUGCGGGGGGGGAGCAUGCGGGGAAGAUGGGGGAGGGGCAAGAUGGCCGCCGAGUCACGUGGGUCCGGUCAAGAUGGCUGCUGUCGUGGUGGGAUGGAUCCAAGAUGGCUGCCGAGACACGUGGGUUGAUCCAAGAUGGCCACCGAGUCAGGUGGGUCGAGCCAAGAUGGCUGCCGAGUCACGUGGGGCGAGCCAAGAUGGCCGCUGCCAAGAUGGCUGCUGAGUCACGUCUGUCGAUCCAAGAUGGCCGCCGAGUCACGUGGGUCGAGCCAAGAUGGCCGCUUGGUCACGUGGGUCCAGUCAAGAUGGCCGUCGUGGUGGUGGGAUGGAUCCAAAAUGGCCGCUGCGGUGGAUCCAAAAUGGUUGCCACGUCACGUGACUCAAUCCAAGAUGGCCGCCGUGACGAUGUGGGUCGAUCCAAGAUGGCGGCCAUAGAUCCAAGAUGGCCGCUGCGGUGGAUCCAAGAUGGCUGCUGGGUCACGUGA